ensembl:snoRNA SNORD79 Small nucleolar RNA SNORD79
AACUGUCAAUGAUGAUCUUGUUUAAAAAACAAUGGGAAUCUCUCUGAAAAGAGUGAAAGAUAACUUUCUACUGAUGCAGUG